GAUGACUUCAAAGCUAACACACAUGGACUAAAAGUCUCCUUUUUCUCCACUCCGUUCCUUUUUUAAAUUAAUCAUCCAUCUGAGCCUGAGAAGAGAUCUCGUCGUCGUGUCAUCUCCGGCGGCACUGCUUCAAACACGUCUCGUGGUCAUGAGAUCGCAGGCUGAUUGUGUCGGUUGGGCGUGUGAGCAGAUGCACGUGCGUCAGGACCCCGUGCUGUCCUACAGGAUGCCCAAGUGACUGCGUGGGAAUGUGGGCCGUUUGUUCCACUCUCAUCCUUUCUGCUUUUAUAUUCGGAAGCGUGAAUGCAUUGAACGCUUUGCCCAUCAGGCCAUGCAUUGGAGAGAAGUCAUCAUGUGUGUAAAUAUCAGAGAACUGUGAUACUUAAAAGCACAUGAAGA